AACAGAAAACAAAAGUAUUAAGAAUACAAAUUAAUUAACCAUACUACUCCAGAACCGUUAAAUAAUAUCUAAAUUUUGCAAAGCCUUCUACACUCAAUUCCUUAAGAACAAUGAAGCAAACUCUUCUGAAUUUUGACUCCCCCUUACUAUUUUCUUGAAGGAAAAAGAAAAAGAUCACAAAGUUUCUCCGGUUCUACCCACUGAAGAAGCUUCUUACAGAUUUCUGUCUCUCGAAAAUUCUCUAAAAAUUUCUACGAACUCAACAGGGAUGAGAUUCUUUGUUUUGCCUAUAAAAAGAGAGUUGGAGGAGGAAAACGGGAGGCUUUUCAUCGGGCAAGAGAUUCGAACAUAUAA
rnacentral:lncRNA from 1 species